AUUGAACGCUGGCGGCAUGCCUUACACAUGCAAGUCGAACGGUAACAGGUCUUCGGAUGCUGACGAGUGGCGAACGGGUGAGUAAUACAUCGGAACGUGCCCGAUCGUGGGGGAUAACGGAGCGAAAGCUUUGCUAAUACCGCAUACGAUCUACGGAUGAAAGCAGGGGACCGCAAGGCCUUGCGCGGACGGAGCGGCCGAUGGCAGAUGAGGUAGUUGGUGGGAUAAAAGCUUACCAAGCCGACGAUCUGUAGCUGGUCUGAGAGGACGACCAGCCACACUGGGACUGAGACACGGCCCAGACUCCUACGGGAGGCAGCAGUGGGGAAUUUUGGACAAUGGGCGAAAGCCUGAUCCAGCCAUGCCGCGUGCAGGAUGAAGGCCUUCGGGUUGUAAACUGCUUUUGUACGGAACGAAAAGACUCUUUCUAAUAAAGAGGGUCCAUGACGGUACCGUAAGAAUAAGCACCGGCUAACUACGUGCCAGCAGCCGCAGUAA
rnacentral:rRNA from 1 species